GAUGAACGCUGGCGGCGUGCCUAAUACAUGCAAGUCGAGCGAACAGACGAGGAGCUUGCUCCUCUGACGUUAGCGGCGGACGGGUGAGUAACACGUGGAUAACCUACCUAUAAGACUGGGAUAACUUCGGGAAGCCGGAGCUAAUACCGGAUAAUAUAUUGAACCGCAUGGUUCAAUAGUGAAAGACGGUUUUGCUGUCACUUAUAGAUGGAUCCGCGCCGCAUUAGCUAGUUGGUAAGGUAACGGCUUACCAAGGCGACGAUGCGUAGCCGACCUGAGAGGGUGAUCGGCCACACUGGAACUGAGACACGGUCCAGACCCCUACGGGAGGCAGCAGUAGGGAAUCUUCCGCAAUGGGCGAAAGCCUGACGGAGCAACGCCGCGUGAGUGAUGAAGGUCUUCGGAUCGUAAAACUCUGUUAUUAGGGAAGAACAAAUGUGUAAGUAACUAUGCACGUCUUGACGGUACCUAAUCAGAAAGCCACGGCUAACUACGUG
rnacentral:rRNA from 1 species